GGGCAUCUGCUUUGCUUCUGCUCCCAUCUCAAAAUCCUCAAGACAGACUGAACAGCCCAACACUUCCUCGAUGUUCACAGUUGGCAGCGCAGCUACUGCUUCCUUCUUGGCAGGUGGUGUGCCAGAACGAUUGAGGUCACUCUCCGCCAAACGCUGCAAGAGAGUAUCUAGGGCAGGACCAAGAAAGUAAUCCCCAAGUGAUACACCAGAACUUGUGUUGCUUGAGUCCUCUUGAUUGUCAUCAGAUCCAAAUGUUCCUUGCAGAAUAAUAGCCUCAUUGUUGGAGUUGAUCAGUAUUAGGCUUUCUGUCCUCUCUCUGCCACGAGCACUCACUCUCUCAAUUUGCCUUGCCCUCUCUCUCUGCCUCUCCAUCCGCUCCUGAAUCCUCUCCCUCGCCAUCCGCCUCUCGAUCC
rnacentral:lncRNA from 1 species